CACACAACCUUCUCUCUCAUGAACUCUCUUCGGCUUCUCUCUACAUCUUUCUUGCCAAAACCUCUUCAACCGAUCUAAACACCCCACCUCCUUCAUCCCCUUCUCCUACCCCACCUGUCUCUAACCCACCUGCAAAUUAUGAAGGCUCUUCCUCUCCUCCAAAACUCUAGUUGCCCUCUGCCAGACCCAUCACCCAACAACUUGUUCCCACAUCCUCUGCAUUUUCCCCCAUGCAAAGUAUUAUUUAACUCAUGAGUUUGGUUUUAUUUCACUAAUGUUAGUAAUUUGUUUUCCAUAAGUUAUGUAACUCAUAUCACAACAAAAUGAAUUUUCUUUUUGAAACGACAUUUACAUUGCACAUUAAUUAUAACUCAUAUCACAAUGAGAAGAAAGUUGAGUUGCACAUGUAUAAAUAAAGGAUGAUAUUUAUGACAAUUUAAUAAAAAGAUAAUAAAAAAUAAUCUGAUGUGAAUGCUGAAUAAUCAAUGAAUAGAAACCUAAUAAUGACUCACAAAUUGAACUUAUAACAAGUUUACUUUAUAUUAAUAACUUAGGUUUUCUAGUUGAAAUGGUGACAUUCUUUUACCUGUAUACCUGACCCCGAAAAAUCCUCCAGGAAGGACUGCAUGGCAGCCGCAUAGAAAAUCAAGUUAUUCCACGGCCAUUGUUUUUUUUUAGCUAAAAGGUUACUAAGAUUGUCAUAAUUUCGCAUUUUGGCUUAUAAAAUUUAAAAUCGAUAAAAGUGAUUUUUGAAAUUGUUUAUCGUCAAUCAUUUUAUUCAUUCUGUUAAAAAUCUUCGUGAAUCAUUUUGACAUUCUGUGAAAUGUCAAAAGUCAAUCAUAAAUGACAUUAGGGAUUUGGAUCUCAGAUAUAAAUUGUAGAGAUUUUAGAGAUCCUUAUAUUUUAAUUGUUCAUCAUAAAUCGUACGGUUAGAAAUUAUUUUGAAAUUUUUAUUUAAAAGUAAACAUAAAU
rnacentral:lncRNA from 1 species